AGGACGAACGCUGGCGGCGUGCUUAACACAUGCAAGUCGAACGAGGUGCUUCGGCACUUAGUGGCGAACGGGUGAGUAACACGUGAGCAACCUGCCCUUGGCUCUGGGAUAGCCUCCGGAAACGGGGAUUAAUACCGGACAUGACUCUCUCCUGCAUGGGGGAGGGUGGAAAGUUUUUCGGCCAGGGAGGGGCUCGCGGCCUAUCAGCUUGUUGGGGGGGUAACGCCCACCAAGGCGACGACGGGUAGCCGGCCUGAGAGGGCGACCGGCCACACUGGGACUGAGACACGGCCCAGACUCCUACGGGAGGCAGCAGUGGGGAAUAUGCACAAUGGGGGAAACCCUGAUGCAGCGACGCCGCGUGCGGGAUGAAGGCCUUCGGGUUGUAAACCGCUUUCACCAGGGACGAAGCGAGAGUGACGGUACCUGGGGAAGAAGCGCCGGCUAACUACGCGCCAGCAGCCGC
rnacentral:rRNA from 1 species